GAGUGAGCGGCAAUAAGCUCAAAUUUGAAAUCUGGUACCUCCGGUGCCCGAGUUGUAAUUUGUAGAAGGUGCUCUUGGGAGUGGGCCUUGUCUAUGUUCCUUGAAACAGGACGUCGAAGAGGGUGAAAAUCCCGUAAGGCGAGGAAACCUCCUUCUUUGUAAGAUGCUUCCAAAAAUUCAAUUUGUUUGGAAUUGCACUUCUAAUGGGGUGGUAAAUUCCUUCUAAAGCUAAUUAUGGGCGAAAGACCAAUACCCAACAAUUACAGGGAUGGAAAAAUAAAAACCCCUUUGAAAAAAAAUUGAAACACUCCUUGAAUUUGUUGAAAGGAAAGGGCUGUAAAUCAAACUUGUCAUUUAGCUCUCACUGCCCCUUGAGGGCGGUGCUCUACCUUUUU
rnacentral:rRNA from 1 species